GUUGUCGGUUAAAACUCAACUCCGGAUUUCGAAGAAGAAUCGUUGCGACUAUGUUGAGAAGCUUUAACGAGGUUGAAAGUGAUUGAUAAUGAACAUGGAAAAAAGUUACUCUAACUUUCUGGCAAACGCUCACGUUGUAAGGGCAAAAGUCAGCUCCGAUCGAGUCAUGUUCGAGAGAGUCGGUUGCUGAGGCAACUCUCGUCCAUUGACGCAAAUGCCCUCGGGACAACGCAUCAGGACUUCCCAGACUUGGUUGUAAAAACGGGCGGGUACACGACACAAGCUGCCCUCAAUUUUUCUUCUACUAAUGACCGUCAAACUGCGAGAUAAAAAAGGCGAUUGAGUUGACGCGUUGGCAAACCUGGAUAAAAACGAUGACUCGAACCGACACUCACUUUUCUGAAGAUUCCCAAUCUUUGACUGUCAAGACUUUGAUGAGUAUCUUCCUAAUCUCGAACGGGCUGUAAUUUUCAAUUGGCUUUGGAUUUUCGACAGACAUUUCCAGAUAAAGUCUCAUUGCUUCCAGGACCCACCUGCAAUCCCGGAAUCGUCACACAUUUUUUUUUUCUGUCGAAAUGGAGAAUCUCGUGAAAGAAAAAUGAUAAAAAGUUUACCCGAUCCGAAUUUUAAGGAUUCCCUUGAACAUGUCGGGAUUCGUGCCGAUCAAACGACCGCAAUAGAGCAAAACUUCUUGCUGCAGCACUGCUUGCACGACAUUGUGAGGUUGAAUCGUUGAGUACAUUACGGAUUGUAUUUCCGCUGGAGUCAUGGGCUUGUCAAAAACCGUUUCUUCGUGUCCGAUCACUCCAACGGUAAUCUGGAACAAUCCAAAUGAAUAAAGGUACAAAUUUGCUUUAAAGCAAAAAAGUGAAUCAUUGAUCAAUUAAUUAUCCAUUUAUCAAUCGCAGAGUUUAACAACUGCAAAAUAAAAAACUCAUUCAUAUUA
rnacentral:lncRNA from 1 species